rnacentral:tRNA from 1 species
CCCAAGGUAGCUCAGACGGUAAAGCAUCUGCCUGUAAUGCAGGGGUCCUGGGUUUGAUCCUUGGGU